rnacentral:rRNA from 1 species
GGGCCCGCACAAGCGGUGGAGCAUGUGGUUUAAUUCGAUGAUGACGCGAGGAACCUUACCAGGGCUUAAAUGUAGUCUGACAGCUUUAGAGAUAGAGUUUUCUUCGGACAGAUUACAAGGUGCUGCAUGGUUGUCGUCAGCUCGUGCCGUGAGGUGUCAGGUUAAGUCCUAUAACGAGCGCAACCCCUGUUGUUAGUUGCCAGCGAGUAAUGUCGGGAACUCUAACAAGACUGCCGGUGCAAACCGUGAGGAAGGUGGGGAUGACGUCAAAUCAUCACGGCCCUUACGUCCUGGCCACACACGUGCUACAAUGGCCGGUACAGAGAGCAGCCACUCCGCGAGGAGGCGCAAA